rnacentral:misc_RNA from 1 species
UCUGCAGUGGAUGGCAAUUGUUCUGUUGGCUGUUGGGACAGCCACUAGCCAGGUGCCACUGAAAAUACUUCCCUUUUUCCAAGCAAUGUUAACUUUGUGCCAUGUGAAUAAGACACGCAUAGCAUUUUAUAGGCAAUAGUCACAUCGUCAUUGAGCCAACCAAAUAUAAUGUUGAAGAAUGGUGAUGUUUCUUAAAUUUUAUUUUAUAUUCACAAUGAGCUUCUUUCUAUGUUAUACAAUAAGAAUAUAACUCCUAGCUACGAAUGUGACCAUCACUAUCAGAAUGACUCUUCUGUGGUCUCUUGAUAAAGGUAAAGGGCUGUGGAGAGGUUUCCUGUGACUCCCUUUUCUCUGCGCCAAUUCAGGGGUACACGUUAGGAAUUCUGUCUGCUUGUCUUUCAGCAGUAGCUGGCAUUUAUACAGAAUUCCUGAUGAAGAAGAACAAUGAUAGUUUAUACUGGCAGAACGUACAAUUAUAUACGUUUGGUGCAAUUUUCAACCUGGCUCGGCUUGUCCUGGAUGAUUUCAGAGGUGGAUUUGAGAAGGGACCAUGGUGGCAACGCCUCUUCAAUGGAUACACUAUGACAACCUGGGUGGUGGUAUUAAAUCUAGGGUGUUCUGGACUUUUAGUUUCUUGGUUAAUGAAAUAUGCUGACAACAUUGUCAAGGUGUAUUCGACAUCAAUGGCAAUGUUAUUGACUAUGGUUCUAUCUGUGUUCCUAUUUAGUUUCAGGCCAACGUUACAGCUCUUCUUGGGAAUUAUUAUUUGCAUGAUGUCGCUACACAUGUAUUUUGCACCCCCAGGCAUGCUAGUGGAUCUCCCUUCCGUGGGAAAAGCUGACCCAAAGAGUCUCAUGGAUGUUUCUAUUGAAAGAAGAACAGUCUCAUGAGUCAUGAUGUAUCCUUUUCGUUGAACGCUAACAAUUAUUCGGUUAGUUUUUGUUUAAAAUUGAUACUGUAAAAGCUAGCAUAUUUUUCCUGGUAAUCUGCUACAAAAAUAGAGCAUUGAUCACUUAUGAUAUUUAAUACCACCGUGGUCAUGUGCCAUACCUGUGGUGCGGAUCAUGCUGAAUUAAUGGCCUCUUGGUCCUGGGAAGAGAAGAGGAUGAAGAUAUCGGAUAUUAACAAGUGCAUUUUAUAUGGAAACAACAUCUGGCUAGUUGAUCAUGGGUGGAUCUCUGUCCUCAAUUGCCUGGAGUUCCAACCACCAACCGACAGUAAUUGUACAAAGAGUUAAGCCACCAUAUGUGGUCUAUACACCUUUUUGUUUUUUCCAUACUCUUGAUGACCAAUUAUUUUAGGUGUAACUGUGUUAAUAAUGCAAUGGCCGCCAUGUUGAAUAGUGUACUUCGCAUAGUAAAUGCACUUCGAUUAUUGAGGCAAUUGAUGCCCUCCUUGGAUGGUCGCGCAGGUAAUGUGUGGACCAGAAGAAUUGGGUGACUAUUUAUGUUUGCGUUGAUUCGACAAUCCACAAGGCCUUGUGGUACUGAAUUAUUGUCAUCUGCCCUAAAACUUGUGGAUUUAAUCAAUCGUUAAAGUAACGAAAAGAAAAAAAAGAAAGUUUC